rnacentral:rRNA from 1 species
UGGGGAAUUUUGCACAAUGGGGGAAACCCUGAUGCAGCGACGCCGCGUGAUUUAGAAGGCCUUCGGGUUGUAAAAAUCUUUUCUAUGGGAAGAAAAUGACAGUACUAUAGGAAUAAGGACCGGCCAAUUACGUGCCAGCAGCCGCGGUAAUACGUAAGGUCCGAGCGUUGUCCGGAAUCAUUGGGCGUAAAGGGUACGUAGGCGGGUAAGCAAGUUAGAAGUGAAAUCCUAUAGCUCAACUAUAGUAAGCUUUUAAAACUGCUCAUCUUGAGGUAUGGAAGGGAAAGUGGAAUUCCUAGUGUAGCGGUGAAAUGCGCAGAUAUUAGGAGGAAUGCCGGUGGCGAAGGCGACUUUCUGGCCAUAACCUGACGCUGAGGUACGAAAGCGUGGGUAGCAAACAGG